AUUGAACGCUGGCGGCAUGCUUUACACAUGCGAGUCGAACGGCAGCGCGGGCUUCGGCCUGGCGGCGAGUGGCGAACGGGUGAGUAAUGCAUCGGAACGUGCCCAGUAGUGGGGGAUAGCCCGGCGAAAGCCGGAUUAAUACCGCAUACGACCUGAGGGUGAAAGCGGGGGACCGAAAGGCCUCGCGCUAUUGGAGCGGCCGAUGUCGGAUUAGCUAGUUGGUGGGGUAAAGGCUUACCAAGGCGACGAUCCGUAGCUGGUCUGAGAGGACGACCAGCCACACUGGGACUGAGACACGGCCCAGACUCCUACGGGAGGCAGCAGUGGGGAAUUUUGGACAAUGGGGGCAACCCUGAUCCAGCCAUGCCGCGUGCGGGAAGAAGGCCUUCGGGUUGUAAACCGCUUUUGUUCGGGAAGAAAUCCUCUGGGCUAAUACCCCGGGGGGAGGACGGUACCGGAAGAAUAAGCACCGGCUAACUAAGU
rnacentral:rRNA from 1 species